rnacentral:rRNA from 1 species
UUUAUGGAGAGUUUGAUCCUGGCUCAGAGUGAACGCUGGCGGCGUGCCUAAUACAUGCAAGUCGAACGAUGAAGCUUCUAGCUUGCUAGAGUGCUGAUUAGUGGCGCACGGGUGAGUAACGCAUAGGUCAUGUGCCUCUUAGUUUGGGAUAGCCAUUGGAAACGAUGAUUAAUACCAGAUACUCCCUACGGGGGAAAGAUUUAUCGCUAAGAGAUCAGCCUAUGUCCUAUCAGCUUGUUGGUAAGGUAAUGGCUUACCAAGGCUAUGACGGGUAUCCGGCCUGAGAGGGUGAACGGACACACUGGAACUGAGACACGGUCCAGACUCCUACGGGAGGCAGCAGUAGGGAAUAUUGCUCAAUGGGGGAAACCCUGAAGCAGCAACGCCGCGUGGAGGAUGAAGGUUUUAGGAUUGUAAACUCCUUUUGUUAGAGAAGAUAAUGACGGUAUCUAACGAAUAAGCACCGGCUAACUCCGUGCCAGCAGCCGCGGUAAUACGGAGGGUGCAAGCGUUACUCGGAAUCACUGGGCGUAAAGAGCGCGUAGGCGGGAUAGUCAGUCAGGUGUGAAAUCCUAUGGCUUAACCAUAGAACUGCAUUUGAAACUACUAUUCUAGAGUGUGGGAGAGGUAGGUGGAAUUCUUGGUGUAGGGGUAAAAUCCGUAGAGAUCAAGAGGAAUACUCAUUGCGAAGGCGACCUGCUGGAACAUUACUGACGCUGAUUGCGCGAAAGCGUGGGGAGCAAACAGGAUUAGAUACCCUGGUAGUCCACGCCCUAAACGAUGGAUGCUAGUUGUUGGAGGGCUUAGUCUCUCCAGUAAUGCAGCUAACGCAUUAAGCAUCCCGCCUGGGGAGUACGGUCGCAAGAUUAAAACUCAAAGGAAUAGACGGGGACCCGCACAAGCGGUGGAGCAUGUGGUUUAAUUCGAAGAUACACGAAGAACCUUACCUAGGCUUGACAUUGAGAGAAUCCGCUAGAAAUAGUGGAGUGUCUGGCUUGCCAGACCUUGAAAACAGGUGCUGCACGGCUGUCGUCAGCUCGUGUCGUGAGAUGUUGGGUUAAGUCCCGCAACGAGCGCAACCCCCUUUCUUAGUUGCUAACAGGUCAUGCUGAGAACUCUAAGGAUACUGCCUCCGUAAGGAGGAGGAAGGUGGGGACGACGUCAAGUCAUCAUGGCCCUUACGCCUAGGGCUACACACGUGCUACAAUGGGGUGCACAAAGAGAAGCAAUACUGCGAAGUGGAGCCAAUCUUCAAAACGCCUCUCAGUUCGGAUUGUAGGCUGCAACUCGCCUGCAUGAAGCUGGAAUCGCUAGUAAUCGCAAAUCAGCCAUGUUGCGGUGAAUACGUUCCCGGGUCUUGUACUCACCGCCCGUCACACCAUGGGAGUUGUGUUUGCCUUAAGUCAGGAUGCUAAAUUGGCUACUGCCCACGGCACACACAGCGACUGGGGUGAAGUCGUAACAAGGUAACCGUAGGUGAACCUGCGGUUGGAUCACCUCCUUUCUAGA